rnacentral:rRNA from 1 species
GAGUUUGAUCGUGGCUCAGAUUGAACGCUGGCGGCAUGCCUUACACAUGCAAGUCGAACGGCAGCACGGGAGCUUGCUCCUGGUGGCGAGUGGCGAACGGGUGAGUAAUGCAUCGGAACGUAUCCUGGAGUGGGGGGAUAACGUAGCGAAAGUUACGCUAAUACCGCAUAUUCUGUGAGCAGGAAAGCGGGGGACCUUCGGGCCUCGCGCUCUUGGAGCGGCCGAUGUCGGAUUAGCUAGUUGGUGAGGUAAAGGCUCACCAAGGCGACGAUCCGUAGCAGGUCUGAGAGGAUGAUCUGCCACACUGGAACUGAGACACGGUCCAGACGUCCUACGGGAGGCAGCAGUGGGAAUUUUGGACAAUGGGGGCAACCCUGAUCCAGCCAUGCCGCGUGAGUGAAGAAGGCCU